AGAAAUCUCGUGUGGAAC
rnacentral:snRNA from 1 species